CCUACGGGUGGCAGCAGUAGGGAAUAUUGCUCAAUGGGGGAAACCCUGAAGCAGCAACGCCGCGUGGAGGAUGAAGGUUUUCGGAUUGUAAACUCCUUUUGGUAGAGAAGAGAAUGACGGUAUCUAACGAAUAAGCACCGGCUAACUCCGUGCCAGCAGCGGCGGGAAUACGGAGGGUGCAAGCGUUACUCGGAAUCACUGGGCGGAAAGAGCGCGUAGGCGGGAUCGCAAGUCAGAUGUGAAAUCCUAGGGCUUCACCAUAGAACUGCAUUUGAAACUGUUAUUCUAGAGUAUGGGAGAGGUAGUUGGAAUUCUUGUUGUAGUGGUCUAAUCCGUAGAGAUCAAGAGGAAUACUCAUUGCGACGGCGACCUGCUAGAACAUACCUGACGCUGAUGCGCGAAUGCGUGGGGAGCAAACAGGAUUAGAUACCCCGGUAGUC
rnacentral:rRNA from 1 species